rnacentral:rRNA from 1 species
ACGAACGCUGGCGGCUGCUUAACACAUGCAAGUCGAACGGAGUGGCGAACGGGUGAGUAACGCGUGAGCAACCUGCCUAUGACAGGGGGAUAGCCUCGGGAAACCGGGAUUAAUACCGCAUAGUCAUAGAUGGGCUCGCGUCUGAUUAGAUAGUUGGUGAGAUAACAGCCCACCAAGGCGACGAUCAGUAGCCGGUCUGGGAGAAACGACGGCGACAUUGGAGCUGGGACACGGUCCAAACUCCUACGGGAGGCAGCAUUGUGGAAUAUUGCACAAUGGGGGAAACCCUGAUGCAUCGACGCCGCGUGAACGAAGAAGGUAUUCGUAUCGUAAAGUUCUGUCCUAUGGGAAGCAGUACCAUAGAAGAAAGCUCCGGCUAAAUACGUGCCAGCAGCCGCGGUAAUAC